AUAACAUCGAAGCAUAAAUAAAAAAAGCUGGACUAAGAAGCGAAACCAUGAUGACCGCAUUGGAAAUGUGGGGUAACCUCGGCUCCUUCAUUGCCGCGCUGAUGUUCGCAUGGGCCAUGUUUAGGCAAUACUUCCCUCCCCAGCUCCGCAUGCACGUCGAGGCCUAUGCUCAAAAGGCCGUUGGCCACGUCUACCCGUACGUCCGAUCAAAUUCCCGGAGUUCACAGGCGAGUGACUCGAGCGGGCGAGGCCUACACCGCAAUCCCGUAACUACCUCGACCGAAGCGCCUCCGCCGGGCAAGCGGCUCAAGGCUGAGUCCGUCAAGGACAGCAUGUCGCUUGUCCUAAGCAUGGACGAGAACGAGGAAGUCAUCGACGAAUUUGAAGGGGUCAAGCUCGGUGGUCGUCGAGCCCGAUCGUCUCCCGUAAGUCCCCAUUUUCCCGGUCCCCGUCAUCCGAAGACAAGGUUUUAUAGGCUGACCUUCCACAGAGCCACCGGGACUUGAUCACCGGCUCUUACAUAAAGCACGUCCCGGAGAAGGGGAAGGUGGUGGCGGCCGACAACCGGCAACGGAAGCUCUUCACCAACAACCCUAGCUCGAACUGGAGCUACCACAAGCCAAGCAAGUGGAGCCACGUGGCAUUCAAGCACCCCUCGACCUUUGACACCCUAGCGAUGGAGCCGAGCAAGAAGAGGGAGAUCAUGAACGACCUCCUCAAGUUCCAGCGAGGAAGGAGUACUACGAGCGGAUCGGCAAGGCGUGGAAGCGUGGCUACCUCCUCUAUGGCCCACCGGGACCGGCAAGUCCACGAUGACUGCUGCGAUGGCCAACUUCCUCAACUACGACGUGUAUGAUGUUGAGCGACGACAGUCAAGGACAACACGGAGCCGAGGAAGCUACUAAUUGACACGUCCGAAAAGGCGAUCAUAGUAAUUGAGGACAUUGAUCGCCGCUCGACCUGACCGGCCGAGGAAGACAAAGAAGCAAGAGAAAGAUGACGACGGAGAGAAAGCGGAUCCCGUAAAGAGAAUGGCAAAAGGCGGGGAAGAGAGCAAGGACAGCAAGGUCACGCUCUCGGGGCUCCCGAACUUCAGCGAUGGGCUGUGGUCGGCGUGCGGCGGUGAGAGGAUCAUUGUGUUCACGACCAACUUUGUCGAGAAGCUCGACCCAGCCUUAAUCGGGAGAGGGAGGAUGGACAAGCAUAUCGAGAUGUUGUAUUGCUGCUUUGAGUCGUUCAAGGUGCUUGCAAGGAAUUACUUGGGCAUCGAGUCGCACCCGCCUGCUUCACAUCGUGAGGCGAUUCUUGCUGGAGGGUACGGAGAUGACUCCGGCAGACGUGGCGGAGAAUUUGAUGCCUAAGUCGGACGAUGAGGACGAGGAGGCUUGCUUGGAGGGAUUGAUCAAAGCGCUCGAAAAGGAGAAGGAAGAAGAAGAAAGAGAAGCAAAAGAGAAGGAAGAAGAAGAAAGGGAAACAGAGCAAGUGUUUAUACUAGCAAUAUCAGAUGCCAGGAAGAAAUCAGAAGAAGAAAAAGCUGCUGCAGCGGAAGCAGAAGCAACUGCAGCUAGAGCAAUGGCUCAGGAAGAAGGGCAACAGACAUCGAGUGCGGGAGAGCAAGAAAAAGAAAAUGAGACCGAGAAACAGGGCCUCAAUUCAGGCCCAACGGUGAUAAUGCCGGCGGCAUUCGGGGUUGUUGGGAGCUGCGGGUGUGGCGACAGGACUUCCGAGCCCAACGCCGGUGAGCUGGCAGUGAAGGGCAAAAAAGCAAAGACGAGGCCUUUGAGGCUCUUACCAGGAACUACUGGGGAGUCCGAGAUCACCGGCUCUUUGCGGGACAUCAAGGGCUUGUCGGAGGAGGUUGAUAGGACUCCGGCUGACGUAGCCGAGAACUUGAUUCCCAAUUCAUUUGAGGACGAUGCUGAGGCCUGCCUGGAGAGUCUGGUUUAA